AUACGGAGGGUGCAAGCGUUGUUCGGAAUUACUGGGCGUAAAGCGCGUGUAGGCGGCCUUGCAAGUCAGAUGUGAAAGCCCUCGGCUUAACCGGGGAAGUGCAUCUGAAACUGCUUGGCUUGAGUACGGGAGAGGGAGGCGGAAUUCCCAGUGUAGAGGUGAAAUUCGUAGAUAUUGGGAGGAACACCGGUGGCGAAAGCGGCCUCCUGGACCGAUACUGACGCUGAGACGCGAGAGCGUGGGGAGCAAACAGGAUUAGAUACCCUGGUAGUCCACGCCGUAAACGAUGAGUGCUAAGAGUUAGGGGGUUUCCGCCCCUUAGUGCUGCAGCUAACGCAUUAAGCACUCCGCCUGGGGAGUACGGUCGCAAGACUGAA
rnacentral:rRNA from 1 species